rnacentral:lncRNA from 1 species
UAGCUCGUCCUAAUUUCAAGCACUUACCACAUUUUCUACUAUCUGAUCUUCGAGACUAGGAGAGAGACAUGGACAUGUCAAGCUUCUUGCUCUCGUAUCGCUUGGCCAAAGACCAUGGAUGAAGAACUGUUCCGGAAUUUUUCUUGAUUGCAGUUGCAUCUCACAGAAUGUUGGGCCAUUGUAGUACGUACUCCAUUAAAAGGUAACAUGCUUGACAGCUAGUUCUUGGGAUAAUAGUCGUCAAAAUUAAUAUAAUUAGUAGCAAGUAGCUCUCCGUAUUAACUUGUUAGCAAUAUUAUUAAUGUACUCAAUGUAUGCAAGGAUGAGAUGACAUAUGAGAAUUUGCCUCUUCUUAUAGGGAUCGGAAUAUAAUAUACAAAUAAGUGAUUCACAAGGGAGAAAGCUUUGCAUGUUAAUUAGUUAAGUUAUUGUUGAUACAUAAGUCUUGGAUGAAUGAAAUCAAUUAUCCUUUAUAAUUCUUUCACACUUUAUUUAUUUAUUUAUUAUAUAAUCGCCAUUCUGAUUAAGUGUCGUAACUACUCUAUAUCUGUAUUCUUUGUGGCUUAGCUUAGCUAACCAGCAAACAUGUUUUUAAAUGCUGCCCAUCAAUGAGUUUCAUACUAAAUCCAACUAUCCAAGCAUUGAUGAGUUAUUCUUUACAAAUCAAACUUAAAAUCAAUUUCUCAAAAUCAAAUGUUAAAUAUCACCUAAGAUUUAUCAUAUUCUUUUUGUACAAAUAUUUAAUCUUGUAUAUUAUUGUUCAAAUGUAUAUAUAGAAUUUUUUAUGUUUAAUAAGUUCUGAAAGUCGAAAAAUUAGAGUAAGAAAAUAAAAUAACAGGAGAAUUAUUUUUUACUGUUCACAAACGUGAUAGUAUAUAGAAAAUCUUAAGUUGUUGCGGCGGAAGUUAUUUGUUGCUACUAAUAAAAGGUAGGAAAAAAAGAAAAGAAAAACUAUUCACUCGAUAAUCGCAACUUAAAAAAUAAAUAGUCAUGAAUAUUAAUGGUUUGGUUUUGAUGUAUUACUUGAUAAAAUUUAAGAUGCUAAUCAAAUAUAAAAAUUGGAUUAAGAACUUACACUCAGAUGUUUACAAAAAAAAUCAUACUUAAUUUUCACAGUUAAGUCAUAAAUAAAAGGUGAGGUGAGUAUGCGUAUUAAUUAACUAUGAUUUAUAGGAGUUUAUGUGAAGGCAAUAUGUCAGGUAUAACUUACUGUUAGAAUAUGUGAAUUGCAAAAGAGGAAAAGAAAAGGAGGUUACUCUCUCUUCGUAACAUGGUGCUUUAUGCUGGAAUACAAAUUAAAAACAUGAUUAAUUGGCAAGGAUAAAGCAAAAAUAUGUUCUCAUUGUGACCAGAUCGGCUAUGUGUUAAGUUUGAUUGUUAACCAUGAGGAGUACUACUACUCAGUAUUAUGAUGAUUUUCCAAUCUUAUUAUUGUUAUUGGUGUGUCACGUUAUUUCAAUUGUAACUUCACAAUUAUUAUCUUCUGACUCGAAAUCACUUAUUUCCUAUGUUAUUGUUGUUAUUGGUGUCUAGCAGGAUAGAGAGGCAAGAAAUGGUUUGAGCCACACUCCCACAUAUCUUGUUAAUAUAUUUUGCAUCGGUGUAGCAGGUUCACGGUACAAAAGGUGGGAAGCCACUGGAAUACAAUCAUCGCUACUUGAUAUUGGGUCUAAUCAGUAGUAACUCAGGGGUGCAAAGAACAAUCAUUAGCCAGAGAACCACUAUCAACUCUCCAUAACUAAACACUACUUGUAACAAAUGUGUAUGAAAAGGAUUGGGUGAUUUGGGGUGAAUGAUGAUAAACUGGUGUGGUGGAUGACCGAUCUGCUAUUUAUAAAGGAUACUGGUCUCUCGUCACGUGCGUCGCACGUGUAUACCGAAUCAAUACACAUUUGUGUAAAAUAACAUUAAUAUUAGUACUACAAAAUUUUGAGUGAAUUUAUAGUAAAGCCCUGAAUCUAUGAAUAUGAACGAUAAAAUUUUAAUUAGAUACAUGUGAAUUUUUUAAAUUAAUUUUAUGAGGUACAAUUAUGUAUUAAAUAUAUCUCGCCAAAUAUUUAUUUAUAGACGAUAUUCUUGGCGUUCGUUCUUUACAUCUAUUUCGGUUGUUUUGUACUCAAGACCCUUUUAAAUGCUGAGACAUGUAAUACAACAUUUUUUACUUCAAUAUUAGAAGCUACUUCAAUGUGGUUAUAAAUUAUUUGCAUCCAAUAUUGUAACGACACGACUGAUCGUUUUAUAUUCUAGAACCUCG